rnacentral:rRNA from 1 species
UGAGGAAUAUUGGUCAAUGGGCGAGAGCCAGAACCAGCCAAGUAGCGUGAAGGAUGACUGCCCUAUGGGUUGUAAACUUCUUUUAUAAAGGAAUAAAGUCGGGUAUGGAUACCCGUUUGCAUGUACUUUAUGAAUAAGGAUCGGCUAACUCCGUGCC